GCCGAUCAAGGGAUCCGGCCCACGUGCGCGGCCGAAGCCCGGAGCAGCCCGGCUCUGGCCCCCGCCCCGGCUCCUGCGCGUCUCCCUCCGCGCUGCCUUUUUUUGUCCGAGCUGGAGCUUUUUUCCAGCAGCGAACUGGGCCCGCGGGUGGCCGGCGCGGGCAGUGGGGCAGCGAAUCCGCUGCCCAGCGCAGCCGGCCGGGUUCCGGAGGGGCUCCGAGCUCCCCGGUGUGGGCGCCUCUUCUGCGUUCAUUUCUUAAUACACAGCUGAAUGUUUCUCUCCACUUUCUUAAGAAGGAGCGCGGCGGGGAACCCAAGGGGCCCGAGGACAGUGGUGCGGGAGGCACGGGCUGCGGCGGCGCAGACGACCCAGCCAAGAAGAAGAAGCAGCGGCGGCAACGUACGCACUUCACAAGCCAGCAGUUGCAAGAGCUAGAGGCCACGUUCCAGAGGAACCGCUACCCCGACAUGAGCAUGAGGGAGGAGAUCGCCGUGUGGACCAACCUCACCGAGCCGCGCGUGCGGGUCUGGUUCAAGAACCGGCGAGCCAAGUGGCGUAAGCGCGAGCGUAACCAGCAGCUGGACCUGUGCAAGGGUGGCUACGUGCCGCAGUUCAGCGGCCUAG
rnacentral:lncRNA from 10 species